CGUAGGAUCAGACCUGCGAGUGCUGUUAGGAAUUGGUGGCAUGGAUCAAAGUUACAUUUGGAAGAAAGGAAAUCCUGUUUUACUUAUUUUAGUUCAUGACUUCAAAUGUAUUAUCUUUUUGUGUUUUUCUUUAAUAUAAUUUUUGGUAAUUUUAUAAGAAGAAAAGUUUCAAAUAUAAAUGAAAUUAUUGAAAAAAAGCAUUUGUUUUUGUUUAUGAGAGUUAACACAUUUGCUUAUUGCAGAAAAAUUAAGAAAACAAUGGUUUGUUGCAACAAGCAAGAUCAUUCUAACUCUAUAAAAUCGUGUUUGCUUUCAUAUAUUGUCAUUUUCCCUGUGUUAUUAAAAUUUCUUUGGAGGGCCGGUGGUGGUGGUGGCGCACACCUUUAAUUCCAGCACUUGGGAGGCAGAGACAGGUGGAUUUCUGAGUUCGAGGCCAGCCUGGUCUACAGAGUGAGUUCCAGGACAGCCAGAGAAACCCUGUCUCAAAAAACCAAAAAAAAAAAAAAAUUUUUUUUUCCUUUGGAAAUAGGUGGGUCUGGAGCGCAUAUCUUUUAUUGGAAUUAAAGGCAGGCAGGAGGCAGAGACAGGUAGAUUUUGGUGAAUCUAAGGCUAGCCAGGGCUGUAGAGUGAGAUUCUGCUUCAACAGAGUUCUCUUUGGAGACAUUUUAGACUUUCAUUAUACUCCAUGUAUCGUGGCUAAACAUUCAUAUGCGUAGUUUUUGUACAUUCACUCUGCAAGCAUGGUGAUGGCACAUCUUGUGUAAAGUUUGGCCUGAAUUUUUGAGCCUUUCAGAUGUUUCUAGGUCAGACUCAGCCAUCAGAACAGCUUUUCUGUUUGUGGCUUUGACUUCGAUCGUUGUCCUGCUACUAGCACAGAAUGAAAGCACACUGGGCCCUAUGCCUGCUCGAGUUCUGUCCUUUGAAAAAUGUUCCUUGAACUUACUGGCAUUCGAUAGAUUCUGGGAGAGGGGGACUUAGUUUUCUGUAGUGAAUUGCUCGUUGGUAGGCUGCUGACACCCCAUAACAGGCUCCACUUUCAAGAUUAGCUGUGCAACACAAACUGGACUUGAGGACUUGAUGGGGAAAAGGGUUGGUGAGGGGACUCUCAAUAGUCAAGUGGGGAGGGGUAGGAGAGUAGAGAGGAAGGAGUUAGAGAAGGAGGUGAAUAUGUUCAGAAAACAUUGUAUGAAAUUCACAGUAAAAUAGUGCUAAAACCCACAAAAUUCAGCAUACAAUAUACAAAGUGCAUAGAAAAACAUGGCAUGAAAACUAGAAUCUAAUUUUAGAUCUACUUCUCAAGGAGUGAGGUUCUCAAAAGACGGGAGUUAGAAGGUACGUGCUUAUGUUCCUUCUUGGCCUCAUGCUAUGCCCAUCCCACCCCAAACAUUCUGAUCUCAUGAUGUUUAAAUUCACACUGGCCAGUCUUUAUCAAGAAAGAGGACUACUUCUGAAUUUGACUACUAGUGUCUCUUUAAUUCACUGUCCUUUUGGAAAUUCUUUUCUUCCUUCCUUCCUUCCUUCCUUCCUUCCUUCCUUCUUUCUUUCUUUCUUUCUUUCUUUCUUUCUUUCUUUCUUUCUUUCUUUCUUUCAUAAGAUUUAUUUAUUCUAUGUAAGUCCACUGUAGCUGUUUUCAGACACACCAGAAGAGGGCAUCAGAUCUCAUUAUGGAUGGUUGUGAGCCACCAUGUGGUGGGAUUUGAACUCAGGACCUCUGGAAGAGCAGUCAGUGCUCUUAACCACUGAGCCAUCUCUCCAGCCCCUGUAAAUUAUUUCUAAAAUUAAUAUGUAAGAUGGUACCAGAAUGGCUUUGAAAAUGGCGCAUAUAGCAGCAAAGUAAGAAGGUAUUUCUUUAGUUUCUUCCUCUUACUUCAUUUCAAAAAGUACUCAUUAUAUAAUCCUUGAUGUGUCUGAGUUUAAACAUGCAGUGGCCAUCUUAUGGCUCCAUAUAGAACCUGGCUCACAAAAACCUGGGUUAAAAUUAAUGCUUCUAGAGCCAGCUUUGGCAGUAUAUACCUGUAACCUAACUGCUCAGAAGACUGAAGCAGGGAGUUCAAGAGCAACCUGGCUAAAGAGUGAAUUGAAGGCCGGCCUGAGCAAUUUAGUAUGACUCUGUGUCAAAACUAAAACACAAAUUUUAAAAUAAAAUAAAGCCUCAAUGGCUGAGUGUUUUUCUCCAUUAUUUAUGUUGGUUUAGUUUCCCAAUAAUACAUGCUCACCAAAAAAGUGCUUUCAGGGGUUGGAAAGAUGGCUCAGAGGUUAAGAGCACUUGCUGCUCUUGCAGAGGACUGGUUUGAUUCCCAGCAUCCUUGUUGGGUAGUUCAGGGAUGUAAUGACAGCUCGUGACAACAGCUCCAGUGGAGUCCCCUGCUCUCUUGACCUCUGUAGCUGGGGACAGCUGGACCAAUGACUUAUAAAUUGUUACACCCCACUCUACACGCGCACACACACACAGACACACUUUUGAAGCUAGGUGUGGUGGCACAUACCUUUAAUCUCAGCACUCAGGAGGCAGAGUCAGGACGUUGGCAGGCAGAUCUCUAGAGUUCCAGAACAGCCAGGGCUAUAGAGAAACCCUCUCUC
rnacentral:lncRNA from 1 species